GGCCAACAGUAGCGUCUGAGGAUGCUGUAGCAAGAAUCCAUUCAUUAUAAGCAUUGAAAGAAAGAUAGUUAACCUCCUUUUCAUGAGCCUUAACAGAAUGUUGGGCUUGAUUUGUGCGCAAGUCCCAGAUCAUUAAUAGACAAUCAUCACCCACAGAACCAAAUAAAUUCUCGUUCUUCAAGUGCCACGACACGUCUUCAACAACACUUUCAUGAGACUCAUAAACAUGCAUAGCAUCAAGCGCUUUAUCUAGAGCAGUAGCAGACAAAUCCCACAAACAUAUUUUAUGAUCAUGUGAACCGCUGACAAGAUAACCCUGCUUAAAGGGACUCCAAGACAACCCAUAUCCUUCUUUAUCAUGACCCCUCAACCUCAAAUCAGGAUCACAACCAUCCUGCCGUUGCUUCUCAGCCUGUUUGGUAGAAUCAAACACAUAAGCCUCACAACCACUCGUCUUUACAGCAACAAUAGCUGGGUUCUGAGGCAUACACCGUGCACGAUUCACCUCUCCAUCAACACGUAUCUUCUGAGUUAUUUGCACCUUAGGAAUCAAAGACCUUUCAGAUUGGCAAUCAAUCUUGGCUUCAGCUGUGCGGGUUGGCAGGACGGCGUCAGCAAUCAUGAGGAAGUUGGGGAAAUCAUCGGACGUAUGGGUUCCAAGGACCAGCCUGUGUACAGCGAAAGAAGAAGGAGCGGUGGGAUGAGGAAGUGGGGCCGAGAGGGGAACCCAUUGGACAGUGAGAGACGGCCACUCGAGAGGAUGAGAGAUGACAAGGUCAUAGAGGAAUGGGGUGUUCUUCUUCCAUACUGAGAAUUCCUCCUCCAGCUGUUCUGGGCCUAGCUCUUGCUCUUCUGCUGCUGCCAUUGUUUGGGGACUUCAACAGUAUGUUUGAGGGGGAACAAUAAGAGGCGGAUGAAAAAUGGGCGAUUUGAUGUUUUGGGGCGUUGGAUUCGGCUUUCUGAGGGGUAUGGUUUCCCGCCAAAAU
rnacentral:misc_RNA from 1 species